GACCGUGUGACUCAACGGUUAGAGAGUCCUUCCGUUGUCUUGUCCGUUGUUUAUAAUAUGUGAGGACGGCGCGGGUUCGACUCCCGCCGUGGGCA